GACGGAAGGUGCAAGCGUUGCUCGGAAUCACUGGGCGUAAAGGGUGCGUAGGCGGCCGUGCAAGUCUGGCGUGAAAGCCCCGGGCUCAGCCCGGGAAGUGCGCUCGAAACUGCGCGGCUCGAGUGCCGGAGGGGAGAGUGGAAUUCCUGGUGUAGCGGUGAAAUGUGUUGAUAUCAUCAGGAACUCCGGUGGCGAAGGCGGCAUGCUGGACCUUCACUGACGCUGAGGCGCGAAAGCUAGGGUAGCGAACGGG
rnacentral:rRNA from 1 species